rnacentral:rRNA from 1 species
UACGUAGGUGGCAAGCGUUGUCCGGAAUUAUUGGGCGUAAAGCGCGCGCAGGCGGUCCUUUAAGUCUGAUGUGAAAGCCCACGGCUCAACCGUGGAGGGUCAUUGGAAACUGGGGACUUGAGUGCAGAAGAGGAAAGCGGAAUUCCACGUGUAGCGGUGAAAUGCGUAGAGAUGUGGAGGAACACCAGUGGCGAAGGCGGCUUCUGGUCUGUAACUGACGCUGAGGCGCGAAAGCGUGGGGAGCAAACAGG